UGGGGGAUAUUGCGCAAUGGGGGCAACCCUGACGCAGCAACGCCGCGUGAAGGAAGAAGGUUUUCGGAUCGUAAACUUCUUUAAGUGUGGAAGAAGAUGACGGUACACACAGAAUAAGCCACGGCUAACUACGUGCCAGCAGCCGCGGUAAUACGUAGGUGGCGAGCGUUGUCCGGAUUUACUGGGUGUAAAGGGCGUGUAGGCGGGAUUACAAGUCAGAUGUGAAAUACCGGGGCUCAACUCCGGGGCUGCAUUUGAAACUGUAGUUCUUGAGUGCCGGAGAGGAAAGCGGAAUUCCUAGUGUAGCGGUGAAAUGCGUAGAUAUUAGGAGGAACACCAGUGGCGAAGGCGGCUUUCUGGACGGUAACUGACGCUGAGGCGCGAAAGCAUGGGGAGCAAACAGG
rnacentral:rRNA from 1 species